AUUUUUGAAAAGUUGCGUCCUUUGCUGGACAAAUUUGCCAGUGGAUAGCUCCCUUAAGCAAAGAAGUUACCCUGAAGGAGAUACUAUGGAUCUCCAGAGAUCAGUGGCUUUCUCUAUUUGCAUGAUAGUUAUUCUGUCCUUUUUGCCAUGGAACCAUAGAAGCAUAGAAUGCUUUUGCUUGGAAGGGACCUUAAAAAUCAUCCAGCUCCAACCCUUCUUCCACAGACAGGGACAUCUUCCACCAGGCCAGGCUACUCAGGGCCCCAUCCAGCCUGGCCUUGAACACUUCUAUGGAUGGGACAUCCACAGCUUCUCUGGACCCAGAGCGACUCAUCAACCUUUGAUUAAUGAAUUCCUUCCCAAUAUCUAACUGAAACUUACCCUCCUUCAGCUUAAACUGAUUGUCCUAUUAUCACAUGGCCUUGACAAAAGACCCUCUUCAUCUUUCUUGCAGGGUCCCUUCAGGUGUUGGAAGGUGCAAUAAGGUCUGCCCAGAGCCUUCUCCAGGCUGAAAAAUCUCAGCUCUCUCAGCCUUCUUCACAGGAGAGGUGUUCCAGAGCCCUGAUCAUCACCAUGGCCUCCUCUGGACAUGCUCCAACAGUUCUGAGUCUUUAUGUUGAGGACCCCAGAGCUGGAUGCAGUGCUGCAGGUGGGGUCUCACCAGAGCAGAUUAGAGGGGCAGAAUCACUUCCCUUGACCUGCUGUUCAUGCUGCUUUGGUUGCAGCCCAGGAUAUGGUUGGCUUUUGGGGCCAACCCAAUCUUACAGAGAAAUAAGGAAAAUGAGAUUCUGCAGUGGACCAGACUUCAGUGAUUUGUCUUUCAUGAGAGAUGGUCUUCCCAAAACCUCCAGUGCUUAAUCAGCCCUUUUGAUCUAAAAGGUGAAAAUAAUCUGAAGAAUACCACAGAGUACUGCCUGACAGACCUGCAUGAGAUAAGAGUAAAGGAUUAAAUCUAUGCUUGAGGCAAACUAUUUUGAUUUCUGUCUCACAUCAUGAUGACUUUGUGGCUUGAGAAAAAGAAAAACAGUGUGUGCAUGUUGUUACUGU
rnacentral:lncRNA from 1 species